GACGGCGAUUUCUUGGCGAUUCAAUCCCCGAACCGUUUGCCGUCGAUUUCACCUAGAAAUCUUCCUCCUCUCCUUGAUAUCUUCGGUAGAACGAUCUGUUCUAUCAUCGAGAGCUUCUCCGCUGGUUCGAAUCGAAAGGUAUGUGUUCGAAAUUCAAAAUCCGAUUUGAGAUUUGGUUGAUUUCUUGUGAGUAUCGAAGUUUUUUGAAGUAUAGGUGGCUGGGUUUGGUUGGAGUCGUUGUGUUUGUUAUUGUAUGUUUGGCGAAAUCAAAUUUAUUAGGGUUUAGUUAUUGAUUUCCGAUUUGCGGAUGUGUGUUUGUCUCCAAGUUUCGAUUUAUUUUAUUGUUUGUAUCCAACAUUCGAUUUAGGUUUCUGUAUUUGGAUUUGGCUUUGUUCUCGAUUUAGGUUGUAUGAAAGUUUAGAUUUACAUUGAUUUUGGAUUUUGUUGGUGGGUUUGGCAAGUUUAGUAUCUCAGAAACAUCAUUGUUUGAGAGUAGGGAAGUAUGUUUUUAAUCUGUUUGUCUGUCUUUGGUUGUAACUUGUACAUGAUAUGAUUAUUUUGGUGUUGGUGCUUGUUUGUGUUUGGUUUAGUAUUAUCUAGUUACAGAAACUAAUCUAGUUAAUAGGAUUGUGUGACUCACCAUUAAAUGCUUUGUUUGUCGUUGAUCUGGUGUGAUGUAUAAUUGAUAAGUUCUAAAACUCUGCUAAACCAUUACUCUUGUAAUCGGAUUGUUAUAACAUUGUUCUAAAACUGUACUUGAAUGCUUUGUACUUGUGUAAGGUGUCUUAAAUUGUGAUUAGACUUAGGUAGUUCAAAGAUAGGUCAUUAUGAAUGGUAAUUUAUUACUUGAUACCUUUUCAUCUUUUAAACACCAACUAGCCUUCACUCUUUAUCCAUCAUCUUCUAUCUCUCUUCUUUGGUAAACCAAUAACCUUUCUUUGGAGAACACCAAACCAGUCUUCACUCUUUUCCUCAUCACCUACAACUCUUCUUCCUAUGAGUUCUUACAUUCCAUUCAGUCAUUCCUCUAGUUAUUUAGAGCUGCUCAACAGUCAACAAGAAUCACUUAACCAAGAAAACUCUCCUGAUGAGAGUUUUCCACCUGCUGGCCACAAUGGUGCUUCAGAAAUACCAACUUGGAGCUCUCAACAAUCCCAGGAUGCACCGCUUUCUCAAGAGACACCUGUCAGGAAGGAUAGGAAGAAAUGGAAUCCGGCUGACGAUGAAUUUCUUAUCAGUGUAUGGCUGAACACUUCAAAGGACCUGAUUAUUGGAAACCAACAAAAGGCAGGAAGCUUUUGGCAAAGGGUCGGAGAAUACUAUGCAGAGUCUCCCCAUGCUAUAGCCAAUGGUGAACAGGGGCUGAACAUAAACUGUAAGCAAAGGUGGUUCAAGAUCAAUGACUUCACUAACAAGUUCUGCGGGGCAUAUGCAACUGCAGAGAGACGAAACAGUAGUGGACAUUCUGAGACCGAUGUGCUGAAGAUGGCUCAUGACAUCUACAUCUCUGACCACAAGACAAAGUUUACAAUGAACCAUUGCUGGUGUUUGUUAAGGUUUGAACAGAAAUUCCUGGACCUUAACAAGAUUAACAAUCUUACACCUAAAGGCAGAACAAAGAGGAGACCAGUUGAGGAAGCUUCACAAUCCGAGGCAACCCACACUGAGCAAGACUUUGAGAAAAGGCCUCAAGGUGUCAAGGCUGCAAAGGCCAGCAGGAACAAUGCUUAGGGGAAGGCUCUUGCUGAGUACGUACAAGAGCAUGUGGGAACUAAAGAAGGUGGAUAUGGCUGAAAAGGAGAAGCUACAGAAGCUUGACAUACUAGACACACUUCUUGCCAAGCCAGAGCCACUUAGUGCAGUUGAUCAAGUUAUCAAGGAUAAGAUAGUGGCUCAGUAUUUCUUAGAUUGAUGUAUUCACUUAAGAUGCAACUUUGUAUUUCUUAUUUUAGUAUCUAAGUUUGAAUUUCUGCUUUAAUUUGUUAUGUAUUCAUCUAUGUCUGUUCUUGUUUCAUCAACUCGGCUUUUGUUGCGCUUUGAAUUGCUAUCUAUAUAUUAAUCUGUUUGUAUCCUUUGUUUGUAACCUUUUGGUUUCUGAAAUUAUCAAGUGCUUUAAAUAAAAAGAUUAAGUAUACAAAGGAGUCACAUGGGAGUUAUUAUGAUAUUCUUCUUACACAAAUGAGUCGCGGGUCAUCACUAACAAGUUUACAAGCAUCAUAGUCUUUCACAUUGUAGUGUCACGGGUUAAGUAUACAAAGGAGUCACAUGGGCGUUAUUAUGAUAUUCUUCUUACACAAAUGAGUCACAUGCAAAGAAAUUUAACAAUCACGGGUAACACAAAGCUUGUCAUCUCAUUUCCUAUAUAUAUGCUUCUUUUGUAAUGCAAAACCAAAGAAACGAAAGCAACACUUCACUUCUCUUGUUUCUAUACUCGAUUUCUCCUCAAGAUCAAAACAAGAUAAAUUUUUUUUUUUUUUUGUAAUGGCAUCAUCAUCAAACCAUUAUCACUACUGAUAUGUUGUGUUUUUAUCGGUUUUGAGUCUUUGUUUUCUUUCCUAGAUCAUAUAUUUUAAAGCGUCAAAGUGUGUUUUUAGAGUCUUUUAGUCUUUUAUCGAGUCUUUACAGGUUUUAGGUUGCUUCGGAGGAAAACGAGCUGUUUUGGGAUAUAAACACACAUUUGGAGAUGCAGUUUCGGUUAGAAGUAUCAAACGUUUGGCCUCAGAUGGAAGACUUCCCACAGUUAGAUCUUUCUGAAUUUUUUAUACAAGCUAGAUGAAGAUGUUAGCUUGAUUUUCCAAGUGUUUUGAAGGAAAUCUAACGGUGCAUUCAAGAGUUAUACCCAAAUUAGUGAAGACAGGUCAAUCUGGCGAGCAUUUGAAGCAGGUGCAGAGCUUGACUCCAGGAGCUUCGGGAUCGAUCGAUACCAGGGGGGAUCGAUCGAUCCAGCAUCAUCCGUCCAAGACCAAUUGAUUCAGCAUAUCUGGAUCGAUCGAUCCACCCAUGGGAUCGAUCGAUCCGAGCCUCGACGUCCCGAGACGGUUUUCCUAAACCGGGUUUUGUCUUCCUUUUUUUGUACUUGGGUAUAAAAACCCCAGAGACCUAAUUUUCUUUUUACGUUCUUUUCUCUGCAACUUUUGAGACUUCUCUUUGUAAGCUUUUUGGGAUUCUAGAGAUUCAUCCUCUUUGACACUUUGGAGAAGAUUUCUAAAACUUUAUUCUUAUUUAUCAAUUCAAUUAUGCUUUCCUUUCAAUCUAUUUGUCUUGUUUCUGUUGUUAUGUGUGAGUAGUCUUUUAAUUGGGUUUUAGGGUUCUAAUUAGGAGAUUCAAUGGAUUAAUGGAUUGAUUGUUAUUAGGAAUUUCAUUCUUUAGGUUCUUUGAUUCACAUGUUCUUAAUGUUAGAAUAGGAUUGAUCACCUGUUGUAGAACCUAGGUUUUUCUAUGCAUCAAAAGUGUUCGAUAGAAUGCCUGAAAGAAUGUGAAUUGAGCAAUGUAUUUCUAGCCAACGAAAGUUGACGUUAGGACGCAUUGUGAACUAAAUGAACUUGUUUGGUAAUGCGAAUUUGAUUAGGAAAUUGCAUGCGAAAGUUUAGUAAUCGAAUAGUCAAAUUUAGUGAUUAAUGUCUUCAAAGAGAAUUGGUCUAAAUGUGUUCAUGUUCAAGAACGGUUCUUAAUUGUUGAAUUCCUUGUUUCAUGUUUCCUUUGUUUAUUGAUCUCUGAAAUACCCUAAUGCCCAAUGUCUUUAAAUCUUGAAGUUCAAUCGUUUUAUUUAUUAGCAUUUUUAUUUUACAUUCUGAAAACCAAACAAACAACCUUUCCGCUUUAGCUAAGAACGAGUCUCGGAAAUCUUUAGUGUACCAUUGGUUCUUGUGGAUCGACCCCGUAUAUACUGCCUUGCGGUUAAGUGUAUCGGGUAAUUACUCGAGCAAUCAA
rnacentral:lncRNA from 1 species